AUUGAACGCUGGCGGCAGGCCUAACACAUGCAAGUCGAGCGGACGAAGGGAGCUUGCUCCUGGAUUCAGCGGCGGACGGGUGAGUAAUGCCUAGGAAUCUGCCUGGUAGUGGGGGAUAACGGCCGGAAACGGGCGCUAAUACCGCAUACGUCCUGAGGGAGAAAGUGGGGGAUCUUCGGACCUCACGCUAUCAGAUGAGCCUAGGUCGGAUUAGCUAGUUGGUGGGGUAAAGGCCUACCAAGGCGACGAUCCGUAACUGGUCUGAGAGGAUGAUCAGUCACACUGGAACUGAGACACGGUCCAGACUCCUACGGGAGGCAGCAGUGGGGAAUAUUGGACAAUGGGCGAAAGCCUGAUCCAGCCAUGCCGCGUGUGUGAAGAAGGUCUUCGGAUUGUAAAGCACUUUAAGUUGGGAGGAAGGGCAGUAAGUUAAUACCUUGCUGUUUUGACGUUACCAACAGAAUAAGCACCGGCUAACUUCGUG
rnacentral:rRNA from 1 species